rnacentral:misc_RNA from 1 species
AUUCCAACGGAACGAGCAACAAAAUAUGGAAUUCUGUACAAAACUGUCCGAAGUUUCUGUCAUGCACAUAUGUUACAACAGAUAAAAAAAAAUUAAAAAAAAAGUACAUGAUUCAUUUUAAGAGCGGGCAUUAUUUUUAAGGUGAAAGAAUGGACUGCAAAGUGACCUAUUAAGUUCGCCAAUUAAGAUUCCAAACCUUACACUAUUGUUAUUUAGUUACAGAACCGAAAGUUCUCCAUGGAUUUUCCACAACUAUCAGAGCCUUAAUUUAAUAUAAGGCAACUCACCUCUUUUCACCACAUAAACAUCUAGCACCUUGUAGAGCAAAAUAUGUUAGGAUGAUAUCGGCACCAGCCCGUCGGAGACACAUCAGGGACUCCAUCAUCAACCUUUCUUCAUCAAUCAUUUUGAGAACUCCACCAGCCUUUAUCAUUGAAUAUUCACCUGAUACCUGAUAUGCAGCAAUUGGCAAAGGAGAUUUAUCUCUGAGAAGCCUGAUGAUAUCCAAAUAAGGAAGACCCGGUUUCACCAGAAGGACAUCAGCUCCUUCAGACUCAUCUUCACGGGCCUCAAUCAAAGCCUCUCUAUAAUUUGCUGGGUUCAUCUGAUAGGUCUUUUUGUCUCCAAAUCGUGGAUUUGAGUCCAGUGCUUCUCUGAAAGGACCGUAAAAUGAACUAGCAUACUUUGCCGUGUAGGACAUAAUUGAAACAUGAUGAAAGCCUUCUGCAUCAAGAGCUGUCCGUAUUGCUCCAACACGGCCAUCCAUCAUGUCACUAGGACUAACAACAUCUGCCCCAGCUCUGGCCUGUUUAUAUAAGAAACAGCACAAAAAUUGGGAAAAAAAAAGGUCACAGAAGCAAAUUCAUAGCAUAUGCAAGAAACUAAGAUGCAAUAAAGAUGUUGGAAACCUCCAACAAAGAUUCUAAUUUAUCAGUGAUUUACCAGAUUGAAGGAGCCAAAAUUAAUCAGCUACAUGCAAUUUAAAGUGCUCAAAACACCAUUUUAGUCCAAUUUAUAUUAGGCAUUCAAGUUAGAGAUAGAGUAGAAUUUUGAGGACUUUUGUCACCAACCUCAAUUGAACAAUUAUGCAUCAGAAAACCUCAAAAGAAGCCACUAAUAUCUUCAGAACAACAAAAGAAAUACUUGAUAUUAAUUGAGAUGGCAAAUUCUAACGCAUAAAUUAUACCAUAAUUACCUGAGAAACAGCUUGUUUACAUAGUUGAUGCACUGUUUCAUCAUUCAUUAUAACUCCAUCUUCUCUGACAAUACCAUCAUGCCCAUCAGAGGAAUAUGGAUCCAGAGCAACAUCAGUGUAAAUAACCUAUGAAAUGGCAGAACAGAAAAUCAGAUAGAUCAUCACAUCCACAUACAAUGACCCCAACCUGAAAAUUUAUUGCUUUCAAAGAUAUAAAAUCGAAAGAUCGAGUACUUUGACCUACAAGAUCAGGAUAUCGAUCCUUCAACAACCGUAUUGCUCGAGGGACUAGACCAUUGUCAUUGUAUGCUUCAUCUCCUGUGGGAGACUAUUAUGGAAGAACCAAUCACAUUAAUUAUUCUACAAAAGAGAAGCAAACCCCGAAGUUCUACAAUAAAUAAAAGAAGAAAACCUUAAGGAGAAACGAAGAAUAAAUACCUUCAGAGCAUCUGGAACUUUGGGGAAGAGCACAAUGCUAUUCACACCAACAUCCCGAGCCUUUGCUACCUGUAUCAGACACUGCCUAUGUUAAAUCAUUGCAAUUAGAUAGAAUAUGCUUGAGAUGCAUGAAAAAAUUACUAAAAAUUUUGUCCAGUUAUAGGAAAGAAAUAAACAUAUCUACACAUAUCGGUUUUUUCACUAAUUCAAACCAAUUGUAGCGUCCUAUUUCUUGUAAGUUCAAAUAAAGGCUUCUAAAAGCAAUUUACAAGAGCAUAGGACCAAAAUAAUGGCAAGGAGUUCCUGCAAGCUAUUCAUGAUAGAAAAAAAUUUUCAUUAGAAAAGGGGUGAUUUACUAUAAAUUUAGCGUUGCGUUGCUGCCAAUCAUCUGAACUUAUUUUGCAUGAGAUCUGCUGAGGCAUAGCAAUUAUGAGUAUUAAUUUAACAUUAUGAAGUUUGCUUCUUCUUUUUUUCCCCAGUCAAGAAAAAUGUCAGAAAGUUAAGCUAUUGCAUAUCACCUCUUCCACAAGUCCAUGUCUCCACCCAAGCCUGUAACAUCCAGGCAUUGCUCCUAUAGGUGUGUCCUCCUCACCUUCAUGAAUAAAAAGUGGAUAGACAAAAUUUGAAGGUGAUAAAUUAGUUUCCCGGAAUGAUGCUCUCAAUGUGGGUGACUUGCGAUUACGACGAGGACGCCUGCUGAGUGGAAGCAAAGGAACCACAGGAGUUCCAGCUGGUGCAGCGGGCUUAGGAGGCACAGGAGGCGCCUCAGGCACAUUUCCCGCCACAACGGCGGCUUCACAUUCUGCAUCACUGAGCCCCAACUUCUUCAUUGGCCCACCCUGCGUUUCACUAGCCCUGACGAUCAAAACACGCUUGGGACACACUUUGACUGAGGUCUUAACACCACUGAACCUCAAAUCAUUAACGGUUGGAUUUAAACCAACGUAGUUCUUCCAGUCUAAAACCUUCAUUGCAGGGACAGUAGAGGAAGCACUGAAGAUUGUUGUUGAACCCAUAACAGCGAUUAUCUGAUCGGUUGCUGAGGCCAAAAGAGAAAAAAAAAAUUAUGAUUCAUUUCUAAAGUUGUUUUGGGAUCCGAAGUAAAAGUUUCAAAUUUUUCUUAGCAACCAAACAGAAAAAUGUAUUUCAAAAAAAAUCCAUAUGAUUUCGUCACAAGAAUUCUCGCGGGAAAGUUGAGGAAAGUAGAGGAAACGAUGAGUAUCGAACAUGAAGAGAAGUCAUAC